GACGUAGGGGGCCAGCGUUGUUCGGAAUUACUGGGUGUAAAGGGUUCGUAGGCGGUGCGGCAAGUCGGGAGUGAAAUCUCUGGGCUUAACCCAGAGGCUGCUUCCGAAACUGCUGUGCUUGAGUGUGGGAGAGGCGCGUGGAAUUGCAGGUGUAGCGGUGAAAUGCGUAGAUAUCUGGAGGAACACCGGUGGCGAAGGCGGCAUCCUGGACCGGUAUUGACGCUGAGGCGCGAAAGCUAGGGGAGCAAACGGG
rnacentral:rRNA from 1 species